UACGGAGGUUCCAAGCGUUGUUCGGAAUUACUGGGCGUAAAGGGAGCGCAGGCGGACAAGUCAGUCUGAAGUGGAAAUCCGGGGCUCAACCUCGGACUUGCUUCGGAUACUGCUUGUCUUGAGUUCGUGAGAGGAAGAUGGAAUUCAGGGUGUAGCGGUGAAAUGCACAGAUAUCCUGAGGAACACCGGUGGCGAAAGCGGUCUUCUGGCACGAAACUGACGCUGAGGCUCGAAAGCGUGGGUAGCAAACGGGAUUAGAUACCCCGGUAGUCCACGCCGUAAACGUUGUAUACUAGGUGUAGGAGGUAUCGACCCCUUCUGUGCCGCAGCUAACGCACUAAGUAUACCGCCUGGGGAGUACGCGCGCAAGCGUGAA
rnacentral:rRNA from 1 species